rnacentral:rRNA from 1 species
CAGAUGGAUGGGCGCAGCCUGAUCCAGCAAUGCCGCGUGAGUGAAGAAGGCCUUCGGGUUGUAAAGCUCUUUUGUCAGGGAAGAAACGGUAGGGGCUAAUAUCCUUUGCUAAUGACGGUACCUGAAGAAUAAGCACCGGCUAACUACGUGCCAGCAGCCGCGGUAAUACGUAGGGUGCAAGCGUUAAUCGGAAUUACUGGGCGUAAAGCGUGCGCAGGCGGUUUUGUAAGUCUGACGUGAAAGCCCCGGGCUCAACCUGGGAAUUGCGUUGGAGACUGCAAGGCUUGAAUCUGGCAGAGGGGGGUAGAAUUCCACGUGUAGCAGUGAAAUGCGUAGAGAUGUGGAGGAACACCGAUGGCGAAGGCAGCCCCCUGGGUCAAGAUUGACGCUCAUGCACGAAAGCGUGGGGAGCAAACAGGAUUAGAUACCCUGGUAGUCCACGCCCUAAACGAUGUCUACUAGUUGUCGGGUCUUAAUUGACUUGGUAACGCAGCUAACGCGUGAAGUAGACCGCCUGGGGAGUACGGUCGCAAGAUUAAAACUCAAUGAAAUUUGACGGA